UUUACUUUUCUCUGUUUACUAUUACUUGUGGGUGUCGUAUUUAUGUUAUGCCAUCUUGUUCCAUGCUUUACUAUGAAUUUAUUUAGUAUUCCGUGUCUCGAGCCGGGGGUCUAUCGGAAACAGCCUUUCUACUUCUUUAGAGGUAGAGGUAUGGACUGCGUACAUCUUAUCCUCCCCAGACCUCACUAUGUGGGAAUACACUGGAUUUGUUGUUGUUGUUUCCUAAAAUUAACGUCUUCAGACUUCUUGAUCAUUAAAGGGCACAAAAUAUAAUUUUUUCAACUUUCUUAUAAUUGUUGACAAAUUAUUUAU
rnacentral:lncRNA from 1 species